GAUGAACGCUAGCUACAGGCUUAACACAUGCAAGUCGAGGGGAAACGAUGAGAGAGCUUGUUCUCUUAGUCGUCGACCGGCGCACGGGUGAGUAACGCGUAUCCAACCUGCCUCUGACCAAGGGAUAACCCGUCGAAAGUCGGACUAAUACCUUAUGCAGUCGUCGGAAGUCAUCUGAUGACGACGAAAGAUUUCAUCGGUGAGAGAUGGGGAUGCGUCUGAUUAGCUUGUUGGCGGGGUAACGGCCCACCAAGGCGACGAUCAGUAGGGGUUCUGAGAGGAAGGUCCCCCACAUUGGAACUGAGACACGGUCCAAACUCCUACGGGAGGCAGCAGUGAGGAAUAUUGGUCAAUGGGCGUAAGCCUGAACCAGCCAAGUAGCGUGCAGGAUGACGGCCCUAUGGGUUGUAAACUGCUUUUAUGCGGGGAUAAAGUGAGGGACGUGUCCUUCAUUGCAGGUACCGCAUGAAUAAGGACCGGCUAAUUCCGUG
rnacentral:rRNA from 1 species